GAAAAAUCAAACAUAGAAACCUUGUCCCUUUGUUGGGAUAUUGCAAGAUUGGGGAGGAAAGGCUUCUCGUAUACGAAUACAUGAAAUGGGGAAGUCUUGAAUCUGUUCUUCAUGAUGGCGGGAAAGGAGGGAUGUUUCUUGAUUGGCCAGCUAGAAAGAAAAUCGCGAUAGGAUCAGCAAGAGGGUUAGCAUUUCUUCACCACAGCUGCAUACCACAC
rnacentral:misc_RNA from 1 species